CUAACAAGGAUUCCCCUAGUAACGGCGAGUGAAGCGGGAAGAGCUCAAAUUUGUAAUCUGGCGGCCUGUGGUCGUCCGAGUUGUAGUCUGGAGAAGCGUUUUCUGCGUCGGACCGUGUACAAGUCCCUUGGAACAGGGCGUCACAGAGGGUGAGAAUCCCGUCUUUGACACGGACUGCCGGUGCUUUGUGAUGCGCUCUCGAAGAGUCGAGUUGUUUGGGAAUGCAGCUCAAAACGGGUGGUAAAUUCCAUCUAAAGCUAAAUAUUGGCGAAAGACCGAUAGCGAACAAGUACCGUGAGGGAAAGAUGAAAAGCACUUUGGAAAGAGAGUUAAACAGUACGUGAAAUUGUUGAAAGGGAAACGUUUGAAGUCAGUCGCGUCUCUCGGGACUCAGCCUUGCCUUUUCGCUUGGUGUACUUCCUGGGAUGACGGGCCAGCAUCGAUUUCGACCGUCGGAGAAGGGCCUUGGGAAUGUGGCACCUUCGGGUGUGUUAUAGCCCUUGGUCGCAUGCGACGGUUGGGAUCGAGGACCGCAGCACGCCGUUUAUCGGCCGGGGUUCGCCCACGUACCGUGCUUAGGAUGCUGGCGUAAUGGCUUUAAGCGACCCGUCUUGA
rnacentral:rRNA from 1 species